UGGGGAAUCUUGGACAAUGGGCGCAAGCCUGAUCCAGCCAUGCCGCGUGAGUGAAGAAGGCCUUCGGGUUGUAAAGCUCUUUUACCAGGGACGAUAAUGACGGUACCUGGAGGAUAAGCCCCGGCAAACUUCGUGCCAGCAGCCGCGGUAAUACGAAGGGGGCUAGCGUUGUUCGGAAUUACUGGGCGUAAAGCGCACGUAGGCGGAUUGUUAAGUCAGAGGUGAAAUCCCGGAGCUCAACUUCGGAACUGCCUUUGAUACUGGCAAUCUAGAGUCCGGAAGAGGUUAGUGGAAUUCCCAGUGUAGAGGUGAAAUUCGUAGAUAUUGGGAAGAACACCAGUGGCGAAGGCGGCUAACUGGUCCGGUACUGACGCUGAGGUGCGAAAGCGUGGGGAGCAAACAGGAUUAGAUACCCGUGUAGUCCCUGAGCGGGCUGGCAAGGCGCAU
rnacentral:rRNA from 1 species